rnacentral:rRNA from 1 species
UAAUAGUGUAUAUUAAAGUUGUUGCAGUUAAAAAGCUCGUAGUUGAAUGUUGGUGUCGAACGAGCGGUCAGCUUCGGCUGUACUGCUCUCUCGACUCCUUCCUUCUGUGGACUACGUCGCACUUUACUGUGUGGCGCUAGGACGCAGCUCGUUUACUGUGAAAAAAUUAGAGUGUUCAAAGCAGGCCGUACGCUUGAAUACAUUAGCAUGGAAUAAUGGAAUAGGACGUCGGGCCUAUUUUGUUGGUUCUAGGACCGUCGUAAUGAUUAAUAGGGACAGUUGGGGCCGUUUAUAUUCCGUAGUCAGAGGUGAAAUUCUUGGAUUUACGGAAGAUAAACUACUGCGAAAGCAUUCGGCAAGGAUGUUUUCGUUAA